rnacentral:rRNA from 1 species
UACGUAGGGUGCAAGCGUUGUCCGGAAUUAUUGGGCGUAAAGAGCUCGUAGGCAGUCUGUCGCGUCUGCUGUGAAAAACUCGGGGGCUUAACCCCCGGGCCUGCAGUGGGUACGGGCAGACUAGAGUGCGGUAGGGGAGACUGGAAUUCCUGGUGUAGCGGUGAAAAUGCGCAGAUAUCAGGAGGAACACCGGUGGCGAAGGCGGCCAACUGGACAGAUACUGACGCUGAGACACGAAAGCGUGGGGGAGCAAAACAGG